UGGCACAAUAAUUCUAGGAAUAGCUCACUGCGCUUACACCCUUACGCAAGGUAGCAAUUUGAAGUCUCAAGCAGAUCGCCAAAUAUGACCUCGCAGGCUAAGGAUUAUUUCGGUUGUCCCAGUAGUCCAGUUUUCCUCAGUUGCACUCACGACAACUACUUUCAUGCUCUCUAGUGCAAGAGGGUAAACUAAAUCCCCGACACCCAUAUGGGUCUGCUCUCCAGUGCGAGAGGAUAAACUAAUUGCUCUCCAAUGCGAGAGGGUAAACCAAUUUCCUAACACCCGUCUGGGGUUUGCUUUCCAGUGCAAGAGGAUAAACUAAUUGCUCUCCAGUGUGAGAGGAUAAACCAAUUCCACACCCAAAAGGGUCUACUCUCCAGUGCGAAAGGAUAAACUAAUUGUUCUCCAAUACGAGAGGGUAAACCAAUUCCCAACACCCAAAAGGGUCUGCUCUCCAGUGCGAAAGGAUAAACUAAUUGCUCUCCAGUACGAGAGGGUAAACCAAUUCCCCACCCAAAAGGGUCUGCUUUCCAGUGCGAGGGGAUAAACUAAUUGUUCUCCAGUACGAGAAGGUAUACCAAUUCCCCGACACCCAAAAGGGUCUGCUCUCCAGUGUGAGAGGAUAAACUAAUUGCUCUCCAGUGCGAGAGGAUAAACUAAUUGCUCUAUAGUGCGAGAGGGUAAACCAAUUCCCCGACACCCAAAAGGGUUUGCCAUCUAGUACGAGAGGAUAAACUAAUUGCUCUCCAGUGCGAAAGGGUAAGCCAAUUCCCCGACACCCAUAUGAGUUUACUCUCCAGUGAAAGAGGAUAAACUAAUUGUCCUCCAGUGCGAGAGGGUAAGCCAAUUCCCCGACACCCAUAUGGGUUUGCUCUUCAGUGCGAGAGGAUAAACUAAUUACUCCAGUGCGAGAAGAUAAACUAAUUACUCUCCAGCAUAAGAGGGUAAAACUAAUUACUUUCCAGUGCAAGAGGGUAAACUAAAUCCCUGACACCCAUCUGGGUAAGCUCUCCAGUGCAAAAAUGCCACAUAGUUCAAAAGAUCGAAUGAUUGAAGAUCAACUAAGCAACAAAUGGUUAUGGGGCAUCAACCACUUUUACACUUAACAGUUCGCUCAUCCGACACUUCAUCUUCAGCAAUUCUGAUCUUGGCAGCUUCAUCCUUGACUGCUCCAUCUAUGGUAGUUGAAAAAUCAAACUCAAGUAGUUUCCUCAUUUUCAGCAGACAGCCCAAACGUGGCAACCCAAACAAUUGCCUAUUCCAUGCCACUUCCUCGGCCCAUGCCGAACCAAUCCUUUGCUUUAAUCAAGCUGAGCUGCUUAAGUAAUGGCCCCUGCCACAUCACCUCCUUGGCCUAUGCCAAGCCGACUCCUGGCCCCUGCCAACCGACGUGCCGUACCACCCCUACGAUUGCCUCGUGGCAGCACCACCUAAGAAGAAGACAAGAAGAAAUUAAGUUUUUAUUACAUUGGUGCGGCAUGGAAAAGACGAAGAAAACAACAAAAAACAGUCCUUUGCAUGGGCAAGAUGUAGAAGAUUGCUAGAAGAUGGGGAACAAAUAUCCUCUAAGCUCUCUCUUGUAGGAUAGAAUAAAUCACUCUCCAAAGUUGAUUUAAUAACCCACAUAAGGUGGACUUAAAUAGGCUUUGAGAGAAAUUUAUUUCCUUUUCCUAGAAGGAUCUAAUUUCAUAUUAAAGAGGGAAUCUACUCAAAACAGGAAGUAGUCCUAAGUUUCCUAAAGCAAGAAGAUCUUUACACCGUUGCCCUUUCCUACGAGUAGCCCAGCAAGUGUGGGGGCAUUUGUGGAGCCAAAAAUAAUCACAAGGCGACAUGUGGAUUUUUGGUAAAAAGGACAAAGUUAACCCUGAUUGACACACCCUGUCCCGAAGGAGGACAUGCUGGCCGUCACGUGAGAUGACGUAACCAUUUACACAGUUCGGAAGCUUUAAAAAAAACAAUUACUAAGAUGAAACACCCGAGGGUGAGUCCUACUUUUAUGAAUUCUGUCAGAACACCGUUGGAUUCCUCGUGGCCACCAAAGCUCUGCUAUCUGGAACCUGGAGGGGCGCAAAACAAAAUUGAGUGGGUCAGUAAAACAAAGUUUUUUGAAAACAUUUCAUUUAAAAUAUUUCUAACCCCUCACUGUAAAACCUGUAUACUUUCCCAGAAAAUAACAUAAUAGUAUAUAAAACCUCAUACGUCACAAAUCACCAAUCUAUCACAAAUCCAGGAAUAUGCCAUGCCAUAAAUGUCAAUAACAAAACGUGGAUGCAUCAAAAUAACAGGUGACAUAAUGAAUCAACCGGAGACCCUGCAGUUGGUCCUGUACGGUUGAUUCCAUAGCUCAACAUCCAACCCAGCCGGAGUCACCACGGUGACCUGUACGGCACUACUCUGCACAUAAGUCGGAACUACCUGAAAUAGUCUGUACGACAAGAAUGGUGUAAUGAUACGCUCUAGUGCUUCUCUCAUCAAUCAUCUGCACGCGUAAUCUAAGGUCACCUACUAGUCGGAACCACCUCUAGUGGUCUGUACGACUAGCAUGUCGGAACCCUCUCAUGGUCUGUACAACAUGCACCUACUUGGAUCCAAGGUGAGCGUGCGGUGCGGUGAAUAAUAUAAGCACUAACACCAGGGGUGCAGGUUAUGAGCUCUCAACACAAUUCACAUCAUCAAUGAUUCACAUGAGUAACAUAAAACUCA
rnacentral:lncRNA from 1 species